rnacentral:misc_RNA from 1 species
GAUGAAGAACGCAGCGAAAUGCGAUAAGUAAUGUGAAUUGCAGAAUUCAGUGAAUCAUCGAAUCUUUGAACGCACAUUGCGCCCCUUGGUAUUCCGAGGGGCAUGCCUGUUCGAGCGUCAUUAUAACCCCUCAAGCUCAGCUUGGUGUUGGGGCCUGCUGCACUGGCAGCCCUUAAAAUCAGUGGCGGCGCCAUCUGGCUCUAAGCGUAGUAAUUCUUCUCGCUAUGGAGUCCUGGUGGAUGCUUGCCAUCAACCCCCAAUUUUUCUAUGGUUGACCUCGGAUCAGGUAGAGAUACCCGCUGAACUUAAGCAUAUCAAUAAGCGGAGGA